rnacentral:misc_RNA from 1 species
ACUGGGUAGGCAACUCGUUGC